rnacentral:rRNA from 1 species
UACGAAGGGGGCUAGCGUUGUUCGGAAUUACUGGGCGUAAAGCGUGCGCAGGCGGCUUCUCAAGUCAGGGGUGAAAGCCCAGAGCUCAACUCUGGAAUUGCCUUUGAGACUGAGUGGCUUGAGUACGAGAGAGGUGAGUGGAAUUCCGCGUGUAGCAGUGAAAUGCGUAGAUAUGCGGAGGAACACCGAUGGCGAAGGCAAUCCCCUGGGCCUGCACUGACGCUCAUGCACGAAAGCGUGGGGAGCAAACAGG